AAUGAACGCUGGCGGCAUGCCUAAUCCAUGCAAGUCGAACGAGUGGCGGAGGGGUGUGUAAUGUCGGGGAAACUGCUUGAAGGAGGGGGAUAACUACGGGAAACGGUAGAUAAUACCGCAUAACAGCCGAUCUGACCAGAUGGGAUUAGGUAGUAGGUGGGGUAACUGCUCACCUAGGCGACGAUCCCUAGCAGAUCUGAGAGGAUGACCAGCCACACUGGAACUGAGACACGGUCCAGACUCCUACGGGAGGCAGCAGUAGGGAAUAUUGCGCAAUGGGCGCAAGCCUGAUAGAGCCAUGCCGCGUGUAUGAAGAAGGCCGUCGGGUUGUAAAGUACUGUCAGUAGGGAAGCGGUACCCACACAGAAAGCCCCGGCUAACUCCGCGCCAGCAGCCGCGGUAAUAC
rnacentral:rRNA from 1 species